rnacentral:lncRNA from 1 species
AAUUAAUAUAGCAAAAUUGGACUACUCCAAAGAGAGAUGGUAUUCGAUCCACUUAAGUUACUUCCCAAAUUAGGACAAACACACUCAAACCUUGUUCAUUUGAACCUAAUACAAUGUCAUGCAUAUGCAUAUAAUACUCCUGGGCAUGCUGUGAAGUCAUUUCUCUUGAGUCUUCUGACAGCCUUAGCAGGAAGCCUGAGUAGGUUCUCGUCCUUUCUCCUUUUUCCUCUAAUCAAGUCAGGAAUCCCUUUUUUAACUGGAAAAGCUUUUCUUCAUUAUAUUUCUGAUCAAAACAUUUUUUUCUAUAUCCUGAUCCUCACUCUUUU